GACGAACGCCGGCGGCGUGCUUAACACAUGCAAGUCGAACGGAAAGGCCCUGCUUUUGUGGGGUGCUCGAGUGGCGAACGGGUGAGUAACACGUGAGUAACCUGCCCUUGACUUUGGGAUAACUUCAGGAAACUGGGGCUAAUACCGGAUAGGAGCUCCUGCUGCAUGGUGGGGGUUGGAAAGUUUCGGCGGUUGGGGAUAGACUCGCGGCUUAUCAGCUUGUUGGUGGGGUAGUGGCUUACCAAGGCUUUGACGGGUAGCCGGCCUGAGAGGGUGACCGGCCACAUUGGGACUGAGAUACGGCCCAGACUCCUACGGGAGGCAGCAGUGGGGAAUAUUGCACAAUGGGCGGAAGCCUGAUGCAGCAACGCCGCGUGCGGGAUGACGGCCCUCGGGUUGUAAACCGCUUUCGCCUGUGACGAAGCGUGAGUGACGGUAAUGGGUAAAGAAGCACCGGCUAACUACGUGCCAGCAGCCGCGGUGAUACGUAGGGUGCGAGCGUUGUCCGGAUUUAUUGGGCGUAAAGGGCUCGUAGGUGGUUGAUCGCGUCGGAAGUGUAAUCUUGGGGCUUAACCCUGAGCGUGCUUUCGAUACGGGUUGACUUGAGGAAGGUAGGGGAGAAUGGAAUUCCUGGUGGAGCGGUGGAAUGCGCAGAUAUCAGGAGGAACACCAGUGGCGAAGGCGGUUCUCUGGGCCUUUCCUGACGCUGAGGAGCGAAAGCGUGGGGAGCGAACAGGCUUAGAUACCCUGGUAGUCCACGCUGUAAACGGUGGGUACUAGGUGUGGGGUCCAUUCCACGGGUUCCGUGCCGUAGCUAACGCUUUAAGUACCCCGCCUGGGGAGUACGGCCGCAAGGCUAAAACUCAAAGGAAUUGACGGGGCCCCGCACAAGCGGCGGAGCAUGCGGAUUAAUUCGAUGCAACGCGUAGAACCUUACCUGGGUUUGACAUGGAUCGGGAGCGCUCAGAGAUGGGUGUGCCUCUUUUGGGGUCGGUUCACAGGUGGUGCAUGGCUGUCGUCAGCUCGUGUCGUGAGAUGUUGGGUUAAGUCCCGCAACGAGCGCAACCCUUGUUCACUGUUGCCAGCACGUUAUGGUGGGGACUCAGUGGAGACCGCCGGGGUCAACUCGGAGGAAGGUGGGGAUGACGUCAAGUCAUCAUGCCCCUUAUGUCCAGGGCUUCACGCAUGCUACAAUGGCUGGUACAGAGAGUGGCGAGCCUGUGAGGGUGAGCGAAUCUCGGAAAGCCGGUCUCAGUUCGGAUUGGGGUCUGCAACUCGACCUCAUGAAGUCGGAGUCGCUAGUAAUCGCAGAUCAGCAACGCUGCGGUGAAUACGUUCCCGGG
rnacentral:rRNA from 1 species